GGGGCUUUCGGCUAGCUUGGUCUAGGCUUGUAGCCUCGGGCGCUACAGACCCCGGUUCAAAUCCGGGAAGCCUCACCA
rnacentral:tRNA from 1 species